UGGCUCAGAGUGAACGCUGGCGGCAGGCCUAACACAUGCAAGUCGAACGGCAGCGGGUAGGAAGCUUGCUUCUUAUGCCGGCGAGUGGCGGACGGGUGAGGAGCGCAUCGGAAUCUACUCCGUCGUGGGGGAUAACGUAGGGAAACUUACGCUAAUACCGCAUACGACCUAAGGGUGAAAGUGGGGGACCGCAAGGCCUCACGCGAUGGAAUGAGCCGAUGUCCGAUUAGCUAGUUGGCGGGGUAAAGGCCCACCAAGGCGACGAUCGGUAGCUGGUCUGAGAGGAUGAUCAGCCACACUGGGACUGAGACACGGCCCAGACUCCUACGGGAGGCAGCAGUGGGGAAUAUUGGACAAUGGGCGAAAGCCUGAUCCAGCCAUGCCGCGUGGGUGAAGAAGGCCUUCGGGUUGUAAAGCCCUUUUGUUGGGGAAGAAA
rnacentral:rRNA from 1 species